GGUUAAGUGACUAAGCGUACACGGUGGAUGCCUUGGCAGUCAGAGGCGAUGAAGGACGUAGUAACUUGCGAUAAGCUCAGAUUAGGCAGUAACAGCCACUUGAGUCUGAGAUUUCCGAAUGGGGAAACCCAACUGCAUAAGCAGUUACUGUUAACUGAAUACAUAGGUUAACAGGGCGAACCGGGGGAACUGAAACAUCUAAGUACCCCGAGGAGAAGAAAUCAACCGAGAUUCCGAUAGUAGC
rnacentral:rRNA from 1 species